AUAAUGUUUAUUCGCUCAAGAAUAAACUGUCUUAUUCAACGCAAACGCUAUUUUCCUAAGGGAUCGCCGAAACCCAAACCCCAAUUUUAUAACCCAUCCUACCCAGUCUACUCUAACACAUAGACUCGUCCACUAAGUAUAAAAACAACUGCCCGUGCAAAUUGUCGCUCUUUUACUAGCUUGUCGCAUCACAGGGUAGGUCGCGCUAUGGUUUACAAGUUUACAUUUACCACCCACCCUCCCACUUAAUUUUUAUUGUAACACGAUGCUUGCUAGAUUUUUGUUAUAUUCCAGUGUUGUCGAGAAUUACGAGCUCCAUUAGAAACCCACAUCGUCAUGGCUGGGACUUAACAGCGUACGGCCCACCGUCAGUCUGUCCAAUGGUCUACUUAGUUCGACCCCCGACGACAGUUCCCUGCGUAAUUGACUGUGCCAGUGUUAGAGAAUUUGCAAUACUUUGAUCAGUUAACUUUUGUUAAUAUUGGUUGUUUUCGGGUACAGUUUUCCAGAGUUAUUUUACCUUCAGUGAAGUUUUAUCUCUAGUUUUUACUCUGGUCUUGAAAACACCAUUUUUGGAUAACGAAUAGAAGUGAUGUAUAGGCAUAGUUUCCACGAACACACUUCCCGCUUGUUACGGGGGAUAGACAUUAUGUACUUAAAUUUCCCGCCGUUCUCGGGGGAACCUGUAAAAUACAAUUGAUCCCAGCCUUGACGUUAUUAUGCCAAACCUUUAAGAUAAUAAAUUGCGUAGUUAAACUG